AAGUCAAUAUUUUAUUUCAGAACAAGUCAUUUAAACAUUACAUGUAGAAGUAAAACACAAACCUGGCUGGACCAUUAAUUUACUCAAGAUUUUCUUAAUUGUUGGUGCAUCCACUCAAAAAUUUACAUUUUAUAGGGUGCAUUCUUGGUAGGAAAAAAUUCUAAGAAUUCUCUUUCUGAUUGUCAGUAACUAACUAUACUAGAGAAAUUUUGAGUGAUUAAACACAAAUUAAUAUUUGUUUGCAUUUGUAAUGCAGUAUAGAAUUAGUUGAUGACUGUUCACUAAAAUAUGUUUCCCAUCGGUCCGAAUACUUAUUUUUUUCAAUACAAACUUCUAAUAUAUGUCAAUAACUUGCAAGAUGGUCUGAGAUACAUACAGGAAAACCAUUUGUUAGGUGAAUGUUGGCCAAACAAUGAUGUAUAUGUAGUUUUGUAUAUAUUAGAAACAAAAAGAGGCACACAUGUAGAAAGACCAAACUUUAGCAAUAAAAAUAUUUCAGCAUCAAAAUGGUUAAUAGUGAGUAUUAUAGCUUCAAAAGAGCCUAUUGGCUCACCCUAAAGGAUGCCCUGCAAUUGUUGUUAAACUCAUCAGAUGAAACUACCCUUUUCAGCUAGCCCUUAGAUUUGUCUAGCUAACAGUAAAAUACUAUAAUAAAUCGGUAACAUAUGUUGCCAGACAAGAAUAAGUGAUAUAAAUAAAGAGUCAAGAGACAUAGCCCCUCAAGAACAAUGUGAAAAGAUUUAUACUUUCAAUGUAUUAAUCAAUUAACAUUGUAGAAGUAACUUGAAAGUGUCAUACUGUUGUUUGUUUAUAUAAUUCCUUAUUUCUUCUUCUUCUUUUUUUCUUCAGAUUGCAUUUUAAACACAAAUGUUCUCCGUGACUGCCUGCUUUGCAGCAUUAGGUCUUCGCACAAGCAGAAGUCCUCCUGACGUCAAUGGGAAUUUUGCCUGAGUGAGGACGGCAGGACUUGGCCCAGGGUCUACAAACACGUUGGAAGCGUCUCUUUUAACAGACAGUAUUUAGAUUCCAAGAGGAGUUUGUUUAACACGCACAUGUGCCAGAAUCCUCAAAACAUCACAGAGUACACAAGACAAAUUGCCUUUUUGUCAGAAUGGCAUAUGUGUCAGGAAAAAGAGUUGCUUCAUCUGAACAGUUUUUUAAUUUUUUUCUUGUCUUCAUUUUUUCUUCUUGAAGAUCAAUAUCCUUAAGCUGUUGGUAGAAAAGUGUGUAAGGGGAUGGAAAAUAUUUUCAGUGAUUAAAAGGUGAAUUUGUGAGGAUAAAAUGCUCUGGGAAUGUUUCAGAUUUUCAUUUUCAGAAGUACAAAAUAGCUCCCUUCCCACAAAACCAGACCAAUAUUAAAAUUAAUGUAUCUGUAUAUUUCCUAGAAUUAUUUGAUUUACUCUUGUUAAUACAGAACUGGUGUCUCAAUUGCUUUGUUAAAAUAUAUACACUAAGUGGUAAAUAUAAUUUCCUUCCAUCGUUUUAGCUAUUAUUAUUUACAUUUUCAUGCUGAAUUAAUGGGACCAAGUUCUCUGUUGCCGUAACUCAGUUGACCUGAAUGGAGUUAUGCCAGCAGAGAAUCUGGGCUGUGUUCUAUGUAGUAUAGCUUAUAUACCUACCCCUUCCCCUUCAGUUUCAACCUUGUUGUAACUAAGCGUAUUCUUGACAACAUUGUUAUAUAGUCAACAGAUGUGUCACAGAAAUUCAAAACUGGGGGCUUUCUGUUACCAAACUCUAUAUCCCCCCCGCUUUUUUUUUAUUGUGUCAUCUAGUUAACAAAAAGCCAGAGAGAUUCCUUUAAAAUUAAAAUAAUGACAAUGCACAAAAACCUACUGUUGAAACAUCCAGAGCUUGCAGAGAGGCCUGCUGGAAGUUGCGCAAUCAUACUUAUAUUCAUGUAAGUGUAUUUUCUUCCUAAAUAUUAUUUCACAAGCUUUAAAAAUUAUGCUGCUUUUUGAGAAAACAUAGACCAUCUACUGUGUAUCGGAGAUCUACAAUGAUCUUGUCAUUCAAAUAAUAAGCAGAACUGUAAAUUUAAAAAAAAAAAGAGAGAGAAGAAAAAUGUGAUUAUAUGAUAUAAUCCUCCAGUAAUCAAUUUUACCUACACUAUCUUGCUUUUGUUUUUAAAACGCUAAAUAAACAAUACAUAAUGCAUUCCUCGUCAGCCAAAACCAUGAGGGCUCUGUGCUCAAAUAACAGGAAACAUAUUCAAUUUUCCUAACAGAAGACAGUUCAUUAAGCUGUGCCACAUCAAAUAAAACUUUAAUUUCUCCAGCAUCAGAGUCGCAAUGAAAGCAAUUGAGGAAGAUGAGCCAUAUGGUACUUCUAUCAGCAAACACAUAUUGCUCAUUCCCCCAAAGUUUUCUAAUUCUGCUCCCCAGACCUGUGUAAUAUAGAUAAUGUGCUCUGAGAGCAGCAACCAUGAGCUAUCUGGUGUACACUUCUAAUGCUGUAUUUAAUGGGAAAUAAUGAAUCAUAAAAGCCUGCAGAAGACGGCUUUUGCUAACCUAAAUCUCAGCUGUAAUUUCAUUGUUCUGUGCCUAAGAUGCUGUUUGCCCUUUCCAAACAACAGCAGUUGAACGUAAUUAUGCUGCUUCGAACCUGGGCUUGAGGAGAAAACCUUCAUAAUAUAACUAAGUUUCUGUUAACUCUUGAAAUUCUGAACUUGAUGCAACUCUAAUUCCUACAGGAGAAGUUUGUAUGAUAUUUUAGGUUCAUAAAAUUAUAUAUAAAUAUUUUUUUCUCGUGGACAGCUACAAAAAUUAAGUUUAAUACUCCCUAAUCUGGCCCUAAAAUGCAACAGGAGAGAUCUACUAAAAAUUAGGAAAUCUGCUUGACAUUGGGAAAUCUGGUAUAACAUCCGUAAGUGCCAAAGCCGUGUAAGUGAACACAAUAAAAGAUUAAUAUUUCUGGGUUUUUACUUUUUGUCAGUUACAAAAACUGGAGUUAAAGUGUUGACUAAAAACUGAACUAACCCAUUUAAACUUCAUAAUGUUUAUACUUUUCUUAUAAAUUCGUAAUGAUCUAUUUACUUAAAUUAGCAGGCCAGUAUUAAAAUAGUAUUGGUACA